AUCGAAAAAAUUUUCACUCAAAUCUUUGGAAAAUAAUUCGAUUACAAUUAAUCGGAGAAAAUAAUAAUUGCCAAGAUAAUUCUUAUUGGCGUGAAAGUCUCUUCGUCGCAAAAAAUCGAGGUAAUAUUUUUUUUAUCGACACAAAACAUUCUUCUUUGAUUAAACACGUCGGGCGUCUUGACGGCGUCGAACGAAGAAAGGAAAAAAAGAAAAAAGAAAAAAGAAGCACGGCCAACUUUAAUAUCGAAGCCAAGUGACGCACGUUGAUGCGGGAGAGCUCUCUCUCUCUCUUUUUCUCCUCUCCUUUAAAAAAUAAUCCGUGUCUUGAAUUAGAAACUCAAUCGUUCUCUAACGCGUGACUGAGAGAACGCACAUGUUUUCACAAAGGGUUGAAAUUGCUUCUCUACGUGUGUAGAAUCGAUGAUACUCACUUGUAAAUGUAUAAAUGAUGGAAAAUAUUCUUUUCAACGAUGCUUUAUUCAGGUAUUGAGAAGUCAAUCAUUUGAUCAAUUUGAUGAAAAAGAUACAAUGGUACAAUACAAUAGUUUUACAAAAUAAGUAAACACAUUGUUUGCUUCUUCUUCUAUGUGAAAUUUACCCUUUGUCUGGUAUAAACUAUUUUUGUGAAGCAAAUAAGCAUGUGUAUGUAACGAGGGUACGAAGGAGAAUCCCGAUAAAUUGCAAGAAAAGUGUAUACAUUUUCAAUGAAAAAUCGUUUCCAUAAUCCUUGAAUCGAUGAUACUCCUUCGACUGGUUUCUCCGUAUAUCCGUGAAAGAAGUUCUUCGAUUUUACGAGUUCACAGAAAAAAAAGGAAAAGAAAAAACGUUCUCAUUCCCAAACAACAAUCGUAGCAGCGCAGACACGUGACAAUAACUCGGGCGAAAAUUCUCAGAGCAUCUGGAAACGUCGUUAUUCCCCGAUUCCCUGCCAUUGUGUCGCAUUCGAUCUGUCAAAGGGGUUGCAUCUUUUCUCCCCUCUUAUUCGAGGCGAGGAAGAGCCGAGGAUCUUGCGCAUCCUCCAUUCGUCCCUUUUUCUUUUUCUUUUUUUUUUUCCACGAGCAAGACGAGAGUCGUUCAAAGGGAAGAAUCGUACGUGCCUCGUCGAGCAUAUAGAUUCUUUCCAACUUGUCUAGAGACGUCUGUCUUUGUACCUAUCCAUUUGUCUAUCCAUUUCACAUGGUCUAUUAAGCAAACUGUCAUUGGAUUGUUUCAAAUUUUCUUUUUUUUUCUUUUUUCAGUUGUUGUAACGUAGAAUCUUUUAUGUUGAAUUUAUAUACGCGUGUAAAGAUGCGACUAUAUCCUGUAUAUUUAUACAGGAUUCAGAUAUUGCAUUUUCCUCUUUUUGAACAGACUUUUUGAACAUGUAACAAGCUCAAUAUAGUGAAACAAAGGAAUGUUGGGUAUAAAUAAAUUUAAACUUGGAAAGAAUAGCAAGUGUUGAUUAUUCCAAUGGUUCAAUGCGAGGUGCAGAGGUAUUGAUUGGCUCCUUGUUGAUGAAAGGAAUAACUUCAAUGUAAAAAUACAAGUAAAACAAUUUUUUACAAUCUAAAUUUUAAUCCACAAACGAAAAGAAAUCAGAAACAAGUGAAUUUUAACAGAUUAAGAUAAGAUAUAUCAAUAUCAUUCUCCACUCGUCCACUAUAAAAAAUAUUAUUAACAAUAAUUAACAUUUGAUUAAGAUGAUCAAAACAUUAUUAAACAUUGUACAAUUAACAACAUCUAAUAGACAAGGAAACAAGAGCUCGAUUCCAUGAGAAAAAAGAAAAAUAUAUAUAUAUUUAGAACGAAGAUUCCACUCUACAUCUUAUUCUCCAACAAAUGGAUAACAUUGUCCGUACGAAACGGAUCGGUGCACCACAACCGGUUGUUACAAGCGAUUCGAGCAGCUCCCAGGGACAGAAAGGCACCAAGUUUAAUCUAGCCUGUGCAAUCUCGUCUAAACGUAUCGAAAUCCGGUCGAAUAUAAAUCACAGGGGUGUGAGGGGGUGAGGCGUAUCCGAAAGCGAGCCAUCAUUUAUUCAACGUUUCGCCUCUGAUCCCUAGCCAACCUGAAGGGGGUGGAACUGGACUUCCUGGACACCUGGAAUUCCCCCCAUAGCUUCCUACUAUUCCCUCGUAAUCAUGCCAGGGGAUUAGUUAGUGACCAGCUUCGCUUUGUAAUCGCCAGUGUUUCUCACCCUCUCCUCCCCUUUCGACACUCUGAAAGACGUCGUAAAAGAAACGGAUAAACGGAUAUUGUACACUCGUAGGAGUGAUGCAAGAUUUAGCUUUAUAGAUAGUGGAUCUAACGAGGAGAUUAUUCCGUGUUUUACAAGCAUGCGAUUCGGCUUAUUGUCGGGGAUAAAUAGUUGUAACUUUCAAUUGUUAUUCUCUUGUUCAACGUGGGGAGGGGGAGGGGGGAGUUUUUCGAAAAUGUUUGGACAAUUUGAGGAAAGGAAAAAGGGAGAUUCGGUUUUAGGGAUGUGUUAUCUAUCGGACAAGUGAAUUUGCGAUUGAAUGAUCGAUCUGUACUACUUGUUCCAACUAUAAUUGAUUUAUUUUACUUGUCCGGUUAGGUUUGAAUUAUCGAUCGUUUCAUUUUUCUGAUCGUGACAGGCUUAUCCCAUUAUUUGUAACAACAGCCACUGUCCAUUUGUCUGGUAUAUGAUCGAUCUGUAUUACUUAGUCGAGAAUGAUUGAUUUAUUAUUGUCUGAUCGUUUAAAUUAUAUUUCGAUGUAAUAUGGAAUGCUUAAAUGAUGCUUUUCGAUAAAUAAAAGCAUCGUUUAAUUUAAAUGUUAUAUAUAUCACAAUGCAAGUACAAUAUUAUAAUUGGUAGAGCAAUUGUUGGGAAAUAUUCAGUUAUAUGAAUGUUAUGUGGAUUUUAGGGAUGUAAGAAAUGUUUCUAAGUGAACCAGAAUGACAUUUUCAUUUUAGAAAAAUGAUCCUCAACCUGAGAUGGCUGAAUGAGUGCAUCAUUUAUGCAGAGAGCAAGUUUAAGAGGCAAAGAUACAUUUUUAGAAAACUUCUGAUUCUUUUUCCAACCAAGCAGUGAAAAUUUUAUACGCUGUUACUCUGAUAUUAAAAUAUAUCCUCAAAAAUAAAGAAACACAGUGUUUGAGAUAAACUCACAUAAUUUUUCUCAAAUAAAGCAUAUGAAAUAUUAUAAAGAUAUUUCUAUUUGCAAUGAGAAAAACAACAUGAGUACAUUUGAUGUUCAUUUUUGAUACAUUGUCGACUAAAAUCAAUUUCCUUCUGAUUAACAAUAAAAUGUUCAAUGAUUAUUAGAAUUAUUAGAAAAACUAAAAACUACGAUUAAUAAAAAUAAUAUUCAGGAAAUCGAUCCACGACCAAGAAUUAUCGUUCUAAAUCUUUCCAUGCAUCAUAGUCCCACUGAAAUGGAAUAAUUUCGCGAUAUUUCAUCCGAAAUGCGUUUUCGCAUUGCAGAUUUUAGGCAAGGGAGAGGAUUAAGCGACAUUUUUUUUUUUCGAGAGAGAGAGAGAGCUUUGCCCUCGAGCUUUCAUCAAUCAUCGAGCGCGUCGGUGGUCGGAUCGACGAGGUUGACAAUGGGUGGCGAUUCUUCCCUCGAAUAUGUCAGCCAUCCUUAUCUUCUAACAUCAAUCACGCGUUUAGGAUUAAUAGCCGUGGAUGAGACAGUGAUUUUCACGAUUACAAAACUGACAGAUCCUUUUGCUUCGUUCUUAUUAUCCCCGCGACGAAUAUUGUAAUAUUCACACGUCGGAUAAGAAGAUCAAAGAAUUUUUUAAUUUUUUAAUCUAUCUUAAAGAUUGAUCCUUAUUUUUUUUUACUUUUCAUUCGAUUUAAAAUCAAAUUUGUCUUUGAGAUAUUAAUCUAGUUCUGCAUGAAUAUUUACAUCGAUAUUUCAUUUUAUCUACAUUUUCGUUCUUCCUUCCUGAAAUUUAAAUUCAAAAUCCAUUCUUCACAAAUAUCUCGAAUCCACUCCAACAUAAUUCACUCUUUCGAAAAUUCCACGAGUAUAUAGCAUUCCAUGUAAAAAAUAAACAAUAUAUAAAUCCAUGGUAAUGUCCAAUUUCACGUAUUUCCGGAACCGGAAGAUCGUCAUUCCGUUCCUUGAUUAACCAGAGUUUUCUUCUCCCCUCCUUGCGAGAGAGAGAGAGAGAGAGAGAACGAAACAAUUUCUCAGCUCAUAAAGAAGCCAAUGCUUCCUAGCAGAGAUGUUUUGGAAAAUUGAUCUCUCCGUUGGAUUAUUCGGUACACCGACAAUGAAAGGCUUUAAAUUGGAGUUGGUGGAAGUUUUAGUCCUUGGCAACGAUGUGUUUUGGGAAAUUUGGGAAAAUUGCGUGCGGUGAAAAUUGGAACAUUGAUGGUAACUGAUAACCAAAUGGUUUCCACGAUGAAGAUUCGUCGAGUCGAAUGAUUGAAAGCAUAGUGGAAGAAGGUGAUGAAGGAUUUGUGUAAAAAAGAAAAGAAGCCAAUUUAUUGUAAAGCGAUCGACUCGUACUACUUUUCUCGACGAAAUUAUCGAGCAUACUACUGAUCGAAUUAUUAUCGACUCUGUCGAUUGAUUCUUGAUUUUGUUGCUUGUUUGAUAAAAUUACCGAUAAACUAUCGGUUUGGCCAAGUACUGUUGACCCUAUAUUGCUUGUCUGAUAAAUUUACCGAUAUACUACUAUUUGCUCGAGUAAAUUAUUGACCGCGUGGUCCGAUCAAUUUUCGAUCGUACUACUUGUUUGGCAAAAUUAUUGAUUUGGCAUAUAUAUUUAAAUUUGAAAUUUAAUUCAAACUCUUGAUGUCUUCUCAUUGAGUGAGAAAGUGUGUUUGAACGAAAGUCAAGAGUGGAAAAAGUGUUUUAUCAAAAAUAGCCAGAGGUUAUUUUUCAUUAAAGAUAAAGGAAGAAUGUAAAAUAAGAAGAAUGGGGCUCCAUCCAUUUUUUGCGAAGAAAUGCAUUCGUACUUAUUUGUAUCCCGUUCUAUUUUAUAAAAGUAACAUCCUCCCUCUAAUCCAUCUCUGACUGUAUCACGCUGCACCAUUGGAGGGAAUAUUACGGUAUAUUAAAUUCUAUAAGAAAUCGUUUCUCCUCGAAAUAUAUUGCAAUAACAAAUUAUCUUUCGUUUUCCUAAGAUUGAUAACCGAAGAAGUAUUUUCCAUUCGUAAGAUCAAAAGUUAAAAUUAAUUAAAUAUCCUAUCAUUUUUUAUCAU
rnacentral:lncRNA from 1 species